AGAGUUUGAUCCUGGCUCAGAAUGAACGUUGGCGGCGUGGAUUAGGCAUGCAAGUCGUGCGCGAUUCUACGGAUUGAAGCUUCGGCCGAUUGAAGUAGUUAAAAGCGGCGAAAGGGAGAGUAACGCGUGGAUAUCUGCCCUUGGCUCCAGGAUAGCUACGGGAAACUGUAGGUAAUACUGGAUAAUAUCUCCGGAUCAAAGGUGUGAUUCCGGCCGAGGAUGAGUCCGCGUCCUAUUAGGUUGUUGGUGGGGUAACGGCCCACCAAGCCGAAGAUGGGUACCGGGUGUGAGAGCAUGGCCCGGCUCACUGGGACUGAGACACUGCCCAGACGUCUACGGACGGCUGCAGUCGAGAAUCUUCCGCAAUGGACGAAAGUCUGACGGAGCGACGCCGCGUGCGGGAUGAAGGCCUUCGGGUUGUAAACCGCUGUCAGUUGGGAGGAAAUGCUAUGGGGUUCUCUCCAUAGUUUGACCGAUCUUCAGAGGAAGUACGGGCUAAGUACGUGCCAGCAGCCGCGGUAACACGUACCGUACGAACGUUAUUCGGAAUCACUGGGCUUAAAGAGUCCGUAGGCGGCUUGAAAGGUGAGGUGUGAAAUCCCACGGCUUAACCGUGGAACUGCGCUUCAAACCAUCAAGCUAGAGGGAGAUAGAGGAAAGCGGAACUGAUGGUGGAGCGGUGAAAUGCGUUGAUAUCAUCAGGAACACCGGUGGCGAAAGCGGCUUUCUGGGUCUCUUCUGACGCUGAGGGACGAAAGCUAGGGGAGCGAACGGGAUUAGAUACCCCCGGUAGUCCUAGCUGUAAACGAUGAGCACUAGUUCGAGGGGGACCCCCACAUCCUCUUGGACGUAGCGAAAGUGUUAAGUGCUCCGCCUGGGGA
rnacentral:rRNA from 1 species